rnacentral:rRNA from 1 species
AUUGAACGCUGGCGGCAUGCCUUACACAUGCAAGUCGAACGGUGACAGGUCUUCGGAUGCUGACGAGUGGCGAACGGGUGAGUAAUACAUCGGAACGUGCCCGAUCGUGGGGGAUAACGAGGCGAAAGCUUUGCUAAUACCGCAUACGAUCUACGGAUGAAAGCGGGGGAUCUUCGGACCUCGCGCGGACGGAGCGGCCGAUGGCAGAUUAGGUAGGUGGUGGGAUAAAAGCUUACCAAGCCGACGAUCUGUAGCUGGUCUGAGAGGAUGAUCAGCCACACUGGGACUGAGACACGGCCCAGACUCCUACGGGAGGCAGCAGUGGGGAAUUUUGGACAAUGGGCGAAAGCCUGAUCCAGCCAUGCCGCGUGCAGGAUGAAGGCCUUCGGGUUGUAAACUGCUUUUGUACGGAACGAAAAGCCUCUUUCUAAUAAAGAGGGGUCAUGACGGUACCGUAAGAAUAAGCACCGGCUAACUACGUG